CACUCCUACGGGAGGCAGCAGUGGGGAAUUUUGGACAAUGGGCGAAAGCCUGAUCCAGCAAUGCCGCGUGAGUGAAGAAGGCCUUCGGGUUGUAAAGCUCUUUUGUCAGGGAAGAAACGGUGAAAGCUAAUAUCUUUUGCUAAUGACGGUACCUGAAGAAUAAGCACCGGCUAACUACGUGCCAGCAGCCGCGGUAAUACGUAGGGUGCAAGCGUUAAUCGGAAUUACUGGGCGUAAAGCGUGCGCAGGCGGUUUUGUAAGUCUGAUGUGAAAUCCCCGGGCUCAACCUGGGAAUUGCAUUGGAGACUGCAAGGCUAGAAUCUGGCAGAGGGGGGUAGAAUUCCACGUGUAGCAGUGAAAUGCGUAGAUAUGUGGAGGAACACCGAUGGCGAAGGCAGCCCCCUGGGUCAAGAUUGACGCUCAUGCACGAAAGCGUGGGGAGCAAACAGGAUUAGAAACCCGUGUAGUCCCAU
rnacentral:rRNA from 1 species